rnacentral:rRNA from 1 species
UACGUAGGGUGCAAGCGUUAUCCGGAUUCACUGGGUUUAAAGGGUGCGUAGGUGGUCAGGUAAGUCAGUGGUGAAAUCUCCGGGCUUAACUCGGAAACUGCCAUUGAUACUAUCUGUCUUGAAUACCGUGGAGGUUAGCGGAAUAUGUCAUGUAGCGGUGAAAUGCUUAGAUAUGACAUAGAACACCAAUUGCGAAGGCAGCUGGCUACACGAAUAUUGACACUGAUGCACGAAAGCGUGGGGAUCAAACAGG